UACGGAGGGAGCUAGCGUUGUUCGGAAUUACUGGGCGUAAAGCGCGCGUAGGCGGCUUUGUAAGUUAGAGGUGAAAGCCCGGAGCUCAACUCCGGAACUGCCUUUGAUACUGGAAAGCUUGAGUUCGGGAGAGGUGAGUGGAACUGCGAGUGUAGAGGUGAGAUUCGUAGAUAUUCGCAAGAACACCAGUGGCGAAGGCGGCUCACUGGCCCGAUACUGACGCUGAGGUGCGAAAGCGUGGGAGCA
rnacentral:rRNA from 1 species